GGCCCUGGGGAAAGGAGACAGGCGAGCCGGCGGUUGUGAGGGCAAGACGCAAUGUUUAUCCCAUUUUUGUAACAAUGAGAACCUCACUGGGGAGUUUCGACAGGGCAUUUUUCUCCCGUAGAAUGGAUGGGGGGGUGUCGUUUGUAACAAGUUCCUGUAGCGGUAACAGCAGGAUAUAGCCGGCCCAUCCGGAGAGUGAGGACGACUCAUUUCACAGACUCCCCGUCUACCAGCACCGGGCUCUCAGCCUCUCACACCCCAGCCCCCCCCUCACCAAGACGAACGUCUGGACUCACAGGCUGGCUGUAGCCCGUGCAACAGUGGACAGAUGGAGAUGCCACCCUAGGCUGUAUUCAACCCCCACCUCCCAGUCAAACAGGGUUCCUUUCAACAUGGAUCAUAUCUUUGUCCUGUGUUUCAUUACAUUGUCUAACUGCCACGCUUCUACUUCGCUCUGCAUCGGUUGCCAUGUUUUGGAUUACUGGCAACCUCGAUCGCAUGACACCGGUACAUCAGCAAGACGGUGCAAAAUGGGAAACUGGCAGCUGUUGUGUCUAUCGUCCAUGCAGCUAUUUCAGAGACAAUUAAAUAUGCUCUCACCUGUU